AUUGAACGCUGGCGGCAUGCCUUACACAUGCAAGUCGAACGGCAGCGGGGGGAGAAGCUUGCUUUUCCUGCCGGCGAGUGGCGAACGGGUGAGUAAUACAUCGGAACGUGCCCUGUAGUGGGGGAUAACUAGUCGAAAGAUUAGCUAAUACCGCAUACGACCUGAGGGUGAAAGUGGGGGACCGCAAGGCCUCAUGCUAUAGGAGCGGCCGAUGUCUGAUUAGCUAGUUGGUGGGGUAAAGGCCUACCAAGGCGACGAUCAGUAGCUGGUCUGAGAGGACGAUCAGCCACACUGGGACUGGGACACGGCCCAGACUCCUACGGGAGGCAGCAGUGGGGAAUUUUGGACAAUGGGCGAAAGCCUGAUCCAGCAAUGCCGCGUGUGUGAAGAAGGCCUUCGGGUUGUAAAGCACUUUUGUCCGGAAAGAAAUGGCUCUGGUUAAUACCUGGGGUCGAUGACGGUACCGGAAGAAUAAGGACCGGCUAACUACGUGCCAGCCGCCGCAGUAA
rnacentral:rRNA from 1 species